AGCCCACGAAACCGCAUCCUUCUUCCUCAUCGAUCCUAUCCCUCCCCUCCCCGGCUCCCCCUGGCCAUACGCCCAUACCCAAGAAACACAGCACUUCCCAUCUCAACUCCACUCCACUCCGGUCCGGUCCGGCCGCUAUGGCCACUCCAAGAUUUCUCGCCGUCAUCCUCGUCGCGGCUCUCCUCGCGCUUUCCUUCUCGCAAGGGGCGGUGGUGGUGGUGGAGGGCAGGAAGGUGCAGGUGAUGAGGGCGGUGGGGCGGUGGCGCUCGCCCCUCCGCGGCGUCCGGUUGCAGGAGCAGCAGGAGGGCGGCGGGAUGGUGUCGACGGUGAUGGACUACUCGGAACCCAAGGCCAACACCAACCCCCGCGGCAGCGUGCCCGCCGCGCCGGAGGACCCCACCUCGCCGCCGUGGCACUGAUCGAUCGACGCAUUUGCGUGUAGAGGACGAAAACGCCAGGAGGGAUCCGAACGAACGGCUCUUCUCCCCCCUGUCUUCCGGCGGUAAAUCUUUGAUGAGUUGGUUGAUCUGGAGAAUUGUAUUUAGUGCUUAUGUUUUGAGUUUUUAUCCCUCGAUCUGUACGUUUCCCCCCUGCAUGCUGCCAUCUGUACAACCCAUCUAUGUGUGCUCUGCAAUAAGAUCAUCAACAUUGUGCCAUUGAUGCAUAUAUGGUGGAUGCCCUUCCAUGAA